rnacentral:miRNA from 1 species
UAAAGCUUCAUCAGCAGGACUG